rnacentral:rRNA from 1 species
AUGAGCUGGCGGCAUGCCUAACACAUGCAAGUCGAACGAAGGCUUCGGCCUUAGUGGCGCACGGGUGCGUAACGCGUGGGAAUCUGCCCUUGGGUUCGGAAUAACAGUUAGAAAUGACUGCUAAUACCGGAUGAUGUCGUAAGACCAAAGAUUUAUCGCCCAAGGAUGAGCCCGCGUAGGAUUAGCUAGUUGGUGGGGUAAAGGCCUACCAAGGCGACGAUCCUUAGCUGGUCUGAGAGGAUGAUCAGCCACACUGGGACUGAGACACGGCCCAGACUCCUACGGGAGGCAGCAGUGGGGAAUAUUGGACAAUGGGCGAAAGCCUGAUCCAGCAAUGCCGCGUGAGUGAUGAAGGCCUUAGGGUUGUAAAGCUCUUUUACCCGGGAUGAUAAUGACAGUACCGGGAGAAUAAGCGCCGGCUAACUUCGUG